rnacentral:rRNA from 1 species
CUCCCUACCACCCCGAACACCUGAACACACCCAAUCUCGUCUGAUCUCAGAAGCUAAGCAGGGUCCGGGCCUGGUUAGUACUUGGAUUGGAGAUAUGAGUUGCAUGCAUCUUUACUCACUGUGAGAGUUGGAAGAGU